rnacentral:rRNA from 1 species
ACCUGCGGAGGGAUCAUUACAAGAAGCCGAAAGCUACUUCAACCAUCGCGAACUCGUCCAAGUUGCUUCGGCGGCGCGGCACCCCUUAACGGGGGCGCCGCAGCCCUGCCUCUCCGGAGGUUCGGGGCGCCCGCCGGAGGUACGAAACUCUGUAUUAUAGUGGCAUCUCUGAGUAUAAAACAAAUAAGUUAAAACUUUCAACAACGGAUCUCUUGGUUCUGGCAUCGAUGAAGAACGCAGCGAAAUGCGAUAAGUAAUGUGAAUUGCAGAAUUCAGUGAAUCAUCGAAUCUUUGAACGCACAUUGCGCCCGGUAGUACUCUACCGGGCAUGCCUGUUCGAGCGUCAUUUCAACCCUCAAGCCCUGCUUGGUGUUGGGGCCCUACGGCUGCCGUAGGCCCUGAAAGGAAGUGGCGGGCUCGCUACAACUCCGAGCGUAGUAAUUCAUUAUCUCGCUAGGGAGGUUGCGGCGUGCUCCUGCCGUUAAAGACCCAUCUUUAACCAAGGUUGACCUCGGAUC